rnacentral:rRNA from 1 species
CUGGUCGGACAUCAGGAGGUUAGUGCAAUGGCAUAAGCCAGCUUGACUGCGAGCGUGACGGCGCGAGCAGGUGCGAAAGCAGGUCAUAGUGAUCCGGUGGUUCUGAAUGGAAGGGCCAUCGCUCAACGGAUAAAAGGUACUCCGGGGAUAACAGGCUGAUACCGCCCAAGAGUUCAUAUCGACGGCGGUGUUUGGCACCUCGAUGUCGGCUCAUCACAUCCUGGGGCUGAAGUAGGUCCCAAGGGUAUGGCUGUUCGCCAUUUAAAGUGGUACGCGAGCUGGGUUUAGAACGUCGUGAGACAGUUCGGUCCCUAUCUGCCGUGGGCGCUGGAGAACUGAGGGGGGCUGCUCCUAGUACGAGAGGACCGGAGUGGACGCAUCACUGGUGUUCGGGUUGUCAUGCCAAUGGCACUGCCCGGUAGCUAAAUGCGGAAGAGA